UGUAGCUCAGUGGUAGAGCGCUUGCUUCACAUGCAUGAGGUCCUGAGUUCAAUCCUCAGCA
rnacentral:tRNA from 1 species